UACGUAGGGUGCAAGCGUUGUCCGGAAUUAUUUGGGCGUAAAGAGCUUGUAGGCGGUUUGUCGCGUCUGCUGUGAAAUUUCGGGGCUCAACCCCGAACUUGCAGUGGGUACGGGCAGACUAGAGUGUGGUAGGGGGAGACUGGAAAUUCCUGGUGUAGCGGUGAAAUGCGCAGAUAUCAGGAGGAACACCGGUGGCGAAGGCGGGUCUCUGGGCAGUAACUGCGUGGAGGAGCGA
rnacentral:rRNA from 1 species